rnacentral:rRNA from 1 species
UACGUAGGGUGCGAGCGUUAAUCGGAAUUACUGGGCGUAAAGCGUGCGCAGGCGGUUCGUUGUGUCGGCGGUGAAAGCCCCGGGCUUAACCUGGGAAUGGCCGUCGAAACUGGCGAACUGGAGUGUGGCAGAGGGGGGUGGAAUUCCGCGUGGUAGCAGUGAAAUGCGUAGAGAUGCGGAGGAACACCGAUGGCGAAGGCAGCCCCCUGGGCUGACACUGACGCUCAGGCACGAAAGCGUGGGGAGCAAACAGG